UUAGCAAUUUGUGACAAGCAAACCCCUCAAAAAUCUAUCUAUGGCUACAUAAUAAGAAGAACAAGUCAGAGAUAUUGAGCACGCAAAAUGAUUAAGGGUACAAAAAUACUACUAAAAGAAGGAGAAAUAUACAGUAUGCUAAGUGAGCUACAAUGCUUGUUUUGUUCAUAUUUGCUAGUUAACCAAGUUCUCCAUUCUUCAACAAUCAAAACGCAGUGUUUCAGCAUCUAACAAAGGCACAGCUUGCCAAGCCGAAGCCGCAAUCAAAGGCCGGCUAUGCCAACCCAAAGUCAAGCUACCUUGAUUCUCUUCCACGCAAUAACCCUCCGCUGAAAACAGAGUCAACAACAUACUCGCUUGCUUAAAAGCAUUCGAACCCAAAUGCAACGGUCUGAACCCGGCUUUACCAAGCCGCUCCUUCCACUUAACCAACGGUUCAUGUCUCUCAACUCGAGCAGGUCCUUCGCAGCACACCACGUUGCAUAUCUCUCUUUGUAAAUACAUCUCGGCCAUAGCUUUAUCUGGUUCAACCGGACACGCUUCAAGCGAGUCAAAAACGGUCGAGUAAUAAUGCAAUGCCUCCGUGAACCGUUCCAUAAACCCGUUCUCGUUAUGGUUCGCUUCUUGUUCAACAACUGUAACGAUUUUCGGAUUCAAACUCCGGAUCCAACCCAAAACCAUUUCAAUACCCGAAUGAUAAUUCGAGUCGGAUUCAGAUCCGAGAAGACGAUGAAGCUGAAAAAUAGAAUUAACCGCCACAGCUUCUUUAGAACUCACCUGAAGCAUCCAUGGCUUCACAUCUUCAAGCCGCCACGCAGCAACGCCGCGAAAGGCGAAUCUAACGUUAACGGAGCGUGCAAGUUCAGCGAGACGGAGGCCGAUUUCACGGAGGUUGUCACGGUCAUCCGGCGACGGCGGACCAAUGCCGGUAAGCCGGAGAAACGGAGGUCCGCCAGGACGAAGAGCAAGAGCUUGAAUUAACGCUGGCCAUUGAAGACCAUGCAUGAGGUUGAAAUCAAUGACGUGGACACAAUCGUGGCCGUUGAAAGCUUCGAGUAUAGCUUGAUUUGCGGUGAAAUGUGCGAAUUUGAGGUAUGGACAAGCUUCGUAGUAGUGAUGGUAAAGAACAUCGUUCUCGUAAAGAGAAACUUGGUGGCUAACAUUGUUUUGACCGAAGAUGCGACGGUUCAAAGCGUCGAUGAAGUAUCCGGCGACUUUUCCGAUGCCGGAGUUUGUGUUCAUGUUUGCCAACAACCCUUGCAUGCCUUCGAUUAGCGAGCCAGCCAAUGAAAGAUUACCACGUUGCACGGAAUCUGCACAGGUCAUCAGCAUGUGGACAAGUUUUAUUGCAGAAUCUUCUUCGACAUUAUUAACUGUCGAAGAAGAUUGGUGGUGGUGGUGUUGUGGCGGCGGUGCUGAGAGAUCUGGAAGUUGAGAGAAAUCGUAGGGUAAAGAGGCCGUGUGGUCAAAUUCGGAGAGGAGAUUGUCCACCCAAUUGCCAAUGUCGGAGGGAUCAUAGUGGACCGUAUCCGAAGCGAAUUGAGAAAUGUCGCUGGAUGAGUUCACGAUCGCACUUUCUAAUCGUUCGAGAUUCUGAGCUACUUGAUGUAGCUCAGAUGAUCGGACUUUGUAGCCGACAUUGGCGAGGAGGCCAUCGAUGUCUUUUGUCUUUGAUGGAGAAGAAGAAUCUGAAACUAUUUCCAUAGAAUUCAAAACUUAAAACACAGUUUUUGAACUUAUAAGCGUUAGUCUGUGGAAGCAAAGUUGAAGUAUGAUAGCAUCUAAAGAAGUGUGUGUGUUUAUAAUUGAGUUUAAGCUAGGAGAGAGUGAAAAAAGAGGAGAAAGAAAUAAAGAAAGUGAUGUGUGAGAAAACUAAGAGAGAAGCUAAGUUGUAAAAUGCAUGAGCACGAUGGGUUACUAAUUUGUGUUGAGUAGCUAUCUGCAGUGCUAGCACAUCAUAUUUGAUUGAUACAACUACUUAUAUAAUUUCAACUUUUUUUAAAAGGUACCCUAAUGUCACGCUAGUGUGCCUUCAAUUUUUAGUAGCCUUAGGUACCAAAGUUGGCUUUUGAUAAUUUAGAUGCUGUUUAUCCAAUAUUGGGAUUUGGGUACAACAAGUGGUUCCUCCUGGGUCGGUCUGGGUCUACUACUAUCAGUGUAGUACCACACUACCACCAUUAACCAUUGUGAUUUGUUACGAUUUUCAGGGUCCAGAAACUAUAGUACAACUGUACAAUAAUACCACAAACUGUAAAAAUAUAUAAACAGUGUAAAGUAUUACUGUUGUUUACAGUUUAACUGACCAAACAAAUGCCAAAUAAUAUAUAAACAGGAAUGUGCUAACAUGUUGAUUCCAAUUUUACUCCAAUUCCAACUUGGGAAUACUGUUAUUUCACAUGCUAUGUUAUGCUACUCUUCAAUUUGUUUUUGAAUUUAUUUCCUAUCUUAUACCUGCUAAACCUAGCAAGUGAUAAUUUGUAUUCAAUUCAUAGAUGAGAAAAAACCCUGACACACUUGACAGCACCUUGCUUUCACGAGCUUGUUUUUCUUACUUUCUUCAUUUAGCACCCACGGUAUACUACAGAUAACCUGUAC
rnacentral:lncRNA from 1 species